UCAAGUGACUAAGUGUAUGUGGUGGAUGCCUUGGCGAUCACAGGCGAUGAAGGACGUGACAGCCUGCGAAAAGCUGUGGGGAGUCGGCAAAUAGACAUUGAUCCACAGGUCUCCGAAUGAGGAAACUCACCUGUUUUACAGGUAUUCAUAACUGAAUACAUAGGUUAUGAAGGCGAACGCGGUGAACUGAAACAUCUAAGUAACCGCAGGAAAAGAAAUCAACCGAGAUUCCGAAAGUAGCGGCGAGCGAAAUCGGAGAAGCCCUGUGUUUGAUAAUGACUUCGAUACCGGAACGAUCUGGAAAGUUCGGCUAUAGAGGGUGACAGCCCCGUACGGGAAAUCGACGUCAUGGUACUAAGAACACGACAAGUAAGGCGGGACACGUGACAUCCUGUCUGAAGACGGGGGGACCAUCCUCCAAGGCUAAAUACUCGUGAUCGACCGAUAGUGAACCAGUACCGUGAGGGAAAGGCGAAAAGAACCCCGGGAGGGGAGUGAAAUAGAACCUGAAACCGCAUGCAUACAAACAGUAGGAGCCUCGUCAGAGGUGACUGCGUACCUUUUGCAUAAUGGGUCAGCGACUUACAUUCUGUGGCGAGCUUAACCGAAUAGGGGAGGCGCAGCGAAAGCGAGUUCGAAAUGAGCGUUCAGUCGCAGGGUGUAGACCCGAAACCAGAUGAGCUAUCCAUGGCCAGGUUGAAGGUGUGGUAACACACACUGGAGGACCGAACCGACUAGUGUUGCAAAAUUAGCGGAUGAGCUGUGGAUAGGGGUGAAAGGCCAAACAAAUCUGGAGAUAGCUGGUUCUCCCCGAAAACUAUUGAGGUAGUGCCUCGUGUGUCGCUCCAGGGGGUAGAGCACUGUUUUGGCUAGGGGGACAUGGAGUCUUACCAAACCAAGGCAAACUCCGAAUACCUGGAAGCGUAAGCACGGGAGACAGAGCACCGGGUGCUAACGUCCGGACUCAAAAGGGAAACAACCCAGACCGCCGGCUAAGGUCCCAAAUAACAGCUAAGUGGAAAACGAAGUGGAAAGGCCGUGACAACCAGGAAGUUGGCUUAGAAGCAGCCAUCCUUCAAAGAAAGCGUAAUAGCUCACUGAUCGAGUCUUCCUGCGCGGAAGAUGUAACGGGGCUAAGUCAAUAACCGAAGCCGCGGAUGCACAGCAAUGUGCGUGGUAGGGGAGCGUUCCGUAAGCCUGCGAAGGUGACUCGCAAGGGUUGCUGGAGGUAUCGGAAGUGCGAAUGCUGACAUGAGUAACGUUAAAGCAGGUGAAAAGCCUGCUCGCCGUAAGCCCAAGGAUUCCUGCUCUACGUUCAUCGGAGCAGGGUGAGUCGGCUCCUAAGGUCAGGCCGAAAGGCGUAGCCGAUGGGAAUCAGGUUAAUAUUCCUGAACCUGCGUCAGAUGCGAUGGGGGGACGGAGCAUGGAAGAUCAUCCGGGUGUUGGAAGUCCCGGUUGUUUAGCGUAGGAGGUCUGCAGGCAAAUCCGCAGACGCAUCUCCAAGGCAAAGACACGUGCCGCCACGGCGGCGAAGUGAUCGGAAGUGCUUCCAAGAAAAGCCUCUAAGCACCAGUCUGAUGCGGACCGUACCGCAAACCGACACUGGUGGGCGAGCUGAAUAUGCUCAGGCGCUUGAGAGAACUCGGGAGAAGGAACUCGGCAAAUUGACACCGUAACUUCGGAAGAAGGUGUGCCGUAGUACCGUGAGAGGAGAGACACCUUGAGCGGGAAACGGUCUCAGAGAAUAGGUGGCUGCGACUGUUUAUUAAAAACACAGCACUCUGCAAAGUCGAAAGACGACGUAUAGGGUGUGAUGCCUGCCCGGUGCUGGAAGAUUAAUUGAUGGGGUGCAAGCUCCUGAUCGAAGUCCCAGUAAACGGCGGCCGUAACUAUAACGGUCCUAAGGUAGCGAAAUUCCUUGUC
rnacentral:rRNA from 1 species